GACGAACGCUGGCGGCGUGCUUAACACAUGCAAGUCGAACGGGCCCGCCCCUGUUUUUGGGGGUGGGUUGAGUGGCGAACGGGUGAGUAUCACGUGAGUAACCUGCCCCCUGCUCCUGGAUAACUGCUUGAAAGGGCGGCUAAUACGGGGUGUUCCGGCCGGUCCGCAUGGGCCUGGUCGGGAUAGUUUCAUCUUCGGGUGUUUCGGGGGGGGAUGGGCUCGCGGCUUAUCAGCUUGUUGGGGGGGUGAUGGCCCACCAGGGCGGUGACGGGUGGCCGGCCUGGGAGGGUGGGCGGCCUGGCUGGGACGGAGACACGGCCCAGCCUCCUGCGGGAGGCAGCGGUGGGGGGUAUUGCACAAUGGGCGGAAGCCUGAGGCAGCGACGUCGCGUGAGGGAUGGAGGCCUUCGGGUUGGGAACCUCUUUCUCCGGUGGUGAAGGCCCUGUCCGUUGCGGCGGGGUUGACGGUAGCCGGGUAUGAAGCGCCGGCUAACUACGUG
rnacentral:rRNA from 1 species